UGUAGCUCAGUUGGAAGAGUGCUUGCCUAGCAUGCAGGAGGCCCUGGGUUCUACCCCCGGCA
rnacentral:tRNA from 1 species